rnacentral:rRNA from 1 species
GAUGAACGCUGGCGGCGUGCCUAAUACAUGCAAGUAGAACGCUGAAGGAAUGAGCUUGCUCUCUUCGGAUGAGCUGCGAACGGGUGAGUAACGCGUAGGUAACCUGCUUGUUAGCGGGGGAUAACUACUGGAAACGAUAGCUAAUACUGCAUAACAGUAGAUAUUGCAUGAUAUCUACUUAAUAGGUGCAAUUGCACCACUACUAGAUGGAUCUGGGUUGUAUUAGCUAGUUGGUGAGGUAACGGCCAACCAAGGCGACGUUACGUAGCCGCCCUGGGAGGAGGACCACCCAAACGGGAACUGAGACACGGCCCAGACCCUACCGGGAGGCACAAUAGGGGAAUAUCGGCAAAGGAGGGAAGUCCUGCCCAGGAAAUACCGGUUGGGUGAGGAAGGUUUCCGGUUGUUAAGGUCCGUUGUAUGGGAAGGAAAAGUAUGAGGGUAGAAAGUUGCCGCUGUGACGGUACCUAAAGAGAAAGGAACGGCUAACUACGUG